GACGAACGCUGGCGGCGUGCUUAACACAUGCAAGUCGAGCGGUAAGGCCCUUCGGGGUACACGAGCGGCGAACGGGUGAGUAACACGUGGGUGAUCUGCCCUGCACUCUGGGAUAAGCCUGGGAAACUGGGUCUAAUACCGGAUAUGACCUCUGGUUGCAUGACCGGGGGUGGAAAGAUUUAUCGGUGCAGGAUGGGCCCGCGGCCUAUCAGCUUGUUGGUGGGGUAAUGGCCUACCAAGGCGACGACGGGUAGCCGGCCUGAGAGGGCGACCGGCCACACUGGGACUGAGACACGGCCCAGACUCCUACGGGAGGCAGCAGUGGGGAAUAUUGCACAAUGGGCGGAAGCCUGAUGCAGCGACGCCGCGUGAGGGAUGACGGCCUUCGGGUUGUAAACCUCUUUCGACAGGGACGAAGCGUGAGUGACGGUACCUGUAGAAGAAGCACCGGCCAACUACGUG
rnacentral:rRNA from 1 species